UAGUAACGGCGAGUGAAGCGGCAACAGCUCAAAUUUGAAAUCUGGCGUCUUCGGCGUCCGAGUUGUAAUUUGCAGAGGGCGCUUUGGCAUUGGCAGCGGUCCAAGUUCCUUGGAACAGGACGUCACAGAGGGUGAGAAUCCCGUACGUGGUCGCUAGCCUUUACCGUGUAAAGCCCCUUCGACGAGUCGAGUUGUUUGGGAAUGCAGCUCUAAAUGGGAGGUAAAUUUCUUCUAAAGCUAAAUACUGGCCAGAGACCGAUAGCGCACAAGUAGAGUGAUCGAAAGAUGAAAAGCACUUUGGAAAGAGAGUUAAAAAGCACGUGAAAUUGUUGAAAGGGAAGCGCUUGCAGCCAGACUUGCCUGUAGUUGCUCAUCCGGGUUUCUACCCGGUGCACUCUUCUAUAGGCAGGCCAGCAUCAGUUUGGGCGGUUGGAUAAAGGUCUCUGUCAUGUACCUCCUUUCGGGGAGAACUUAUAGGGGAGACGACAUGCAACCAGCCUGGACUGAGGUCCGCGCAUCUGCUAGGAUGCUGGCGUAAUGGCUGUAAGCGGCCCGUCUUGAAACACGGACCAAGGAGUCUAACAUCUAUGCGAGUGUUUGGGUGUCAAGCCCGAACGCGUAAUGAAAGUGAACGGAGGUGGGAACCUUUCGGGGUGCACCAUCGACCGAUCCUGAUGUCUUCGGAUGGAUUUGAGUAAGAGCAUAGCUGUUGGGACCCGAAAGAUGGUGAACUAUGCUUGAAUAGGGUGAAGC
rnacentral:rRNA from 1 species